CAAAAUCAAUGAUAAUUUGACUCAAAGAAAUUUUUAAAAAGUGACAUAUGAUACACAAAGAUUGAAAACAAAUGUAUACAGAUCACAUGUGUCUCUGUUGUAUUGAUGGAAAAAAGUAAACGAUAUCAACAUAAAAUUUGAAUGAUGUAAAAAAGACAUUUAUUUUGCACUGCAUGCACAUUCUAAAUUUACCUGAGAGAGGAGUUGCUGUCGGAAGGCACCAUUUCUAGAAAUUUGCAACAAAUAACUGAAAAAAUCAAAACACGGAUCCGAACUACAUACACGUCAAAAAAAUGAAAAGCAGCUCUUUUCUCAUCCUCUGUUUUCUCUUCCUUUUAAUGGAUGUAUCGAGAGAUACCCACGCUGCUUACAAAAAAUCUUUUAAAAAGAAUGAUUACAGAUCAAAAAGGCUGUCAUCUCGUGCCGCUGCUGUGUUACCACCUGCACUUACUUUUUAUGAUAAUAAUCGUAUUAUCAGUUAUGAAGACUUAGUAAUGAAAGUACUCGGCAAUGCUGCUUCUGUUCGUAAAUGAGCGAAUAAAAGGCAAUUUAAAACAAGAACAUAUUCAAUUCAUUUAUUA